UACGUAGGGUGCAAGCGUUAUCCGGAAUUUAUUGGGCGUAAAGAGCUCGUAGGCGGUUUGUCGCGUCUGCUGUGAAACUGGAGGCUCAACCUCCAGCCUGCAGUGGGUACGGGCAGACUAGAGUGCGGGUAGGGGAGAUUGGAAUUCCUGGUGUAGCGGUGGAAUGCGCAGAUAUCAGGAGGAACACCGAUGGCGGAAGGCCAGAUCUCUGGGCCGUAACUGGACGCUGAGGAGCGAAAGCCUGGGG
rnacentral:rRNA from 1 species